rnacentral:lncRNA from 1 species
UGAAAGCGGUGAAGAUUACUGGAUUGUAAAGAAUUCAUGGGGAACUAGUUGGGGGAUGGAAGGAUACUUUUACCUCAGAAGGAAUACCGAUUUGCCAUAUGGGGUUUGUGCAGUCAAUGCCAUGGCUUCAUAUCCUACCAAAGAGUCAUCUGCACCCACUCCUUAUCCAUCUCCAACUCCUCCACCACCUCCUACACCUGUCUCUCCACCACCCCCACCAGUGACACCGCCACCACCAACUCCAGUGACACCACCACCACCCUCUCCUUCUCCAAGCCAAUGCGGAGACUUCUCCUAUUGUCCAGCUGAUGAGACAUGUUGUUGCCUCUAUGAAUUCUUUGACUACUGCUUCAUCUAUGGUUGCUGUCCAUAUGAGAAUGCGGUUUGCUGCACUGGAACCGAAUACUGCUGUCCAAGUGAUUACCCCAUUUGCGAUGUUGAGGAGGGC